rnacentral:rRNA from 1 species
AUGAACACUGUGAGGAUUCUGAUCUCUUGUGCAGCAAAUUUCGAGUGGCCUUUACACCAACUCGAUGUGAAGAAUGCCUUCUUUCAUGGGGACUUGCAGGAGGAGGUAUACAUGGAGAUUCCACCUGGGUUCUCGAUUCCUGAGACUGUUGGGAAGUUAUGCAGGCUAAAGAAAGCUCUUUACGAACUGAAGCAGUCUCCAGGUGCUUGGUUUGAUAAGUUUAGACGGGUUGUGUGUGACAUGGGGUAUGGACACUCUAAAGGGAAAAUGACCAUCCUUGCAGUUUAUGUUGAUGAUAUCAUUAUCACCGGCGAAGAUGACAUAGAGAUAACAAGGUUAAAGGGGUGUCUGAGUAAGGCAUUUAAAGUUAAAGAUCUUGGUCGACUCAAGUACUUCCUUGGUAUAGAAGUGGCAAGGUCUAGAAAAGGAAUAGGUCUUUCUCAAAGAAAGUAUAAUCUGGGCCUCCUCUGUGAUGUUGGCAUGUUGGGUUAUCAAGCUGCUUCAACCACAAUUGAUCAAAACCAUAAAUUGACUGCCCAAUCAGGUGAUCUGGUGGAUAAAGAAAAAUAUCAGCGAUUGGUGGGAAGAUUGUUAUACUUGUGUCAUACACGACCAGACAUUGCAUUUGCAAUAAGUGUUGUGAACAGAUAUAUGCAUGAACCUAGAAGUGAACAUCUCGAGGCAGCAUAUAGAAUCCUGAGAUACUUGAAGGGUUCUCCUGGGAAAAGACUGAUAUACAAGAGUCAUGGACAUCUAGUGUUUUUGUAG